UCAGCACCAGACUCACUACCUCCUCUCCUGGACUGCCUACUCUCCCCAGAUUCCACAAGUCCACACCUUCUCCCGCACCUCAGCCACGGUGACCAAUAAUCUUGGAGAAAGUUACUUGUACAGAAGAUGAUGGACCAAAAGAAUAUCUUAUGAAAAUUUUCUUCCUUGUCAUGUGGACUUUUUUGAAGUUGCCAAACAGCACUCCCUACUGUUAUCACAAGAAUGAGAAAAUGAAGAACUUUAGCUUAUCAGACUAUUUUAUUCUUCCUGUCUCACAUUUUCAGUAUGU